AUUGAACGCUGGCGGCAGGCCUAACACAUGCAAGUCGAGCGGAUGAAGGGAGCUUGCUCCUGGAUUCAGCGGCGGACGGGUGAGUAAUGCCUAGGAAUCUGCCUGGCAGUGGGGGAUAACGUCCGGAAACGGGCGCUAAUACCGCAUACGACGUGAGGGAGAAAGUGGGGGAUCUUCGGACCUCACGCUAUCAGAUGAGCCUAGGUCGGAUUAGCUAGUUGGUGGGGUAAAGGCCUACCAAGGCGACGAUCCGUAACUGGUCUGAGAGGAUGGUCAGUCACCCGGGAGCUGAACCACCGACCAUACUCCUACGGGAGGCAGCAGUCGGGAAUAUUAGACAGUGGUCGGAAGCCUGAUCCAGCCAUGCCGCGUGUGUGAAGAAGGUCUUCGGAUUGUAAAGCACUCCAAGUUGGGAGGAAGGGCAGUAAUUUAAGACGUAGCGGGAUUGACGUUACCAGCAGAAUAAGCACCGGCUAACUACGUG
rnacentral:rRNA from 1 species